rnacentral:lncRNA from 1 species
CGAGUAGAGGUCGAUCUGCUUCUCCCAAGUUCCGGGUCUUGGGCGGGCCCCAUCGGCGGCCAUUCUGCGCGAACGACCCUCAGCACUUCGUGGCCCGGUUCGCCUGCACUUUUAGUAAUAACUUGUCCUUUGGGCUCCGUUACAGGAUUUAAGAAGACAUGAUUUCCACCCCACUUCCACAGCACGUCUAAAGUUUUGUCUUCUUUCUGGGUCCUUAUCUUAUGCCACAAUGCAGCAAGCUCUGGAACAAGCUUUGGAUCGUGCAGAGUAUAUCGUCGAAAGCGCUCAGCAGAGGCCUCCGAAAAGGAAAUGCCUGUCUAGUGGAAGAAAGUCUAUAUUUCAAAAACUUUAUGACUUAUAUGUUGAAGAAUGUGAAAAAGAGCCCGAGGUUAAGAAAUUAAGAAGAAAUGUGAACUUGUUAGAGAAGCUUGUUAUGCAAGAGACAUUGUCAUGUUUAGUGGUCAAUCUUUACCCAGGAAAUGAAGGGUAUUCCCUGAUGCUGAGGGGAAAAAACGGAUCAGAUUCUGAGACCAUCCGAUUGCCUUAUGAAGAAGGGGAGUUGCUUGAAUACUUAGAUGCAGAAGAAUUACCUCCUAUUUUGGUUGAUCUCCUUGAAAAAUCACAGGUUAAUAUUUUUCACUGUGGAUGUGUGAUAGCAGAAAUCCGUGACUACAGGCAGUCCAGUAAUAUGAAGUCUCCUGGUUACCAAAGUAGGCAUAUUCUCUUACGCCCAACAAUGCAGACUUUAGUCUGUGAUGUCCAUUCUAUAACAAGUGACAACCAUAAAUGGACCCAGGAAGACAAACUUUUGCUUGAGAGCCAGCUGAUUCUAGCUACAGCAGAACCACUGUGUCUUGACCCAUCUGUGGCAGUAGCAUGCACGGCCAAUAGGCU